rnacentral:rRNA from 1 species
AUUGAACGCUGGCGGCAGGCUUAACACAUGCAAGUCGAGCGGAGUGAUGGUGCUUGCACUAUCACUUAGCGGCGGACGGGUGAGUAAUGCUUAGGAAUCUGCCUAUUAGUGGGGGACAACAUCUCGAAAGGGAUGCUAAUACCGCAUACGUCCUACGGGAAAAAGCAGGGGAUCACUUGUGACCUUGCGCUAAUAGAUGAGCCUAAGUCGGAUUAGAUAGUUGGUGGGGUAAAGGCCUACCAAGGAGACGAUCUGUAGCGGGUCUGAGAGGAUGAUCCGACCACAUGGGACUUGGAAACUGCACAGAAUCCUGCGGGAGGCAACAGAGGGGAAUAUUGGACAAUGGGGGGAACCCUGAUCCAGCCAUGCCGCGUGUGUGAAGAAGGCCUUUUGGUUGUAAGGCACUUUAAGCGAGGAGGAGGCUCUUUUGGUUAAUACCCAAGAUGAGUGGACGUUACUCGCAGAAUAAGCACCGGCUAACUCUGUGCCAGCCGCCGCAGUAA